GUAGAGAUUGGAGAAUGCCCCACCCUCCUUCUCCCUGCUGGGGGCCAUCUGAACUGUGAAACAGUGCAAGGACACUAUGUGACGCCCUGCGGUGGGGUGCGGAAGCUGCUCCAUGUAGCUUAGGAUAAGAAGGCAGAGAGGUUUCCAAUGAACACGGCGCAUUGAAGAAUAUAGGCUGUCUGCCAUCCACUAAAUCUGGUUUGAUUUCUCCAUUCAACUGCUGUCUGUCUCUUUAGAGCAAAGCCCAAAUAACAAAGUAGUCUGCAAGCAGGUGACCUCUCUCUCAGCUACUUUCCGAGGUAAGAGUCCUGGUAAUGCUUUCCAGCUCUGUAGACACCGCGAUGCACUUUCCCCAGUUGUUCUGCCUGUGACCCAGUGACCAUUCUCUGAACGUCCUGUUGGAAGAAAUCAGUCGUCUUCUCAGCUGUGGUGUCCCCAAGUCCUGCAUGUGUCAACUUUCUAUAUCCUGAGGCUGUCGUAAGAAACCAGGAAAAGAGACCAGGAAAUCUCGUUUGUCUCUGGAAAUCUUACAACGGACCAUUGCAUUUCCUUUAGCUCUUUGACUCAUGCUGGCCAGAAGUGUGCUCCCACUCUUGCAGGAAGAAAACACGAAGGACCAGCAAUACUUCUCUUCAGCCGGCAGAGGGAAGAGAAGAACAGAAUUUCACAGAUCUAGGGAUGCACUGCUUAUCCUCACAGACAAAAACCCAAAAUGAACUCCUUAUUUUCCUUCAUUUCUUUAAAAAAAUAGACCCAGAAAAAUAACAUUUUUGAAGAAAGACAUUUCCCAGGGCUUAUGCUAUCGGAACAAAUGGAUCUAAUUCAGGACUUGAUAUUUCUGAUGUAAAGACUUCCAGACAGACCCAAACUGGGUCUGAGAGGAGGGGCCAAUGUGUGUGGCCAAGGUUCAAAUGUGAGUCAAUUUGUAGAUGGAUUCAGAGUUCAUAGCUCUCAGGAAGAACAAGAUUUGUGCAUUUUGUGAUCGCUGUUUGUUUUUAAUGAAUAUUCCAGUCACGUUCCAGUAAUUCAAAAUAAGAUGCUCUAGAUUUCCUCUAACACUCCUGCCCCUGAAACUUAGAAAGAAAAUCACAUAGGCUUUAUUAAAAGCAACCCAAUGCCAGUACUUGUUUUAAAACUGCCUGCCUAAAACACGGCCCCACUCGAUUACAAUUGCCUCUUUGCUGAAGCAAAACACACACUGCACUUAGAGUCCACUUCAGCCUGAACCCCUUCUGAAAGGAAAGGGAGAGCCCAGUAGUGGGGAAUGGAAUGUAAUUCACGAUUCAGCCUUUCUAUAAGCCCUGACACUCCCAUUAGGUUUAAAUGGAAUCACACAGGGAAUGUUCCACAAGCUGUUGUUACCAGGGAAAAGGGAUUUGAAGAUGCCUGCCUUCUAGCAGAGGCCCCGGAGUCCAGACCUGCAGAGAGGACAGACAUUCCUCGAUGUCUCCCUUGCCCUUUUCAUCCCUUCCCUUUUUCCAGUUUAUAUGUUUCCACGACCCCAAAUGGAUGGCAGUGUCUUCUUCCUCACCAUUACAA